rnacentral:rRNA from 1 species
UACGUAGGGUGCAAGCGUUAAUCGGAAUUACUGGGCGUAAAGUGUGCGCAGGCGGCCGCGCAAGUCGAGUGUGAAAGCCCCCGGGCUUAACUUGGGAAUUGCGCUCGAAACUACGUGGCUGGAGUGUGGCAGAGGAAGGUGGAAUUCCAGGUGUAGCGGUGAAAUGCGUAGAGAUCUGGAGGAACACCGAUGGCGAAGGCAGCCUUCUGGGCCAACACUGACGCUCAUGCACGAAAGCGUGGGGAGCAAACAGG